AGGACGAACGCUGGCGGCGUGCCUAACACAUGCAAGUCGAACGCUGUCCAUUCGGUGGCAACACUGAUGAAGACGGAGUGGCGAACGGGUGAGUAGCACGUGAGCAACCUGCCCCGAAGACCGGGACAACACCGGGAAACCGGUGCUAAUACCGGAUGCCCCCACCGGGCCGCAUGACCUGGUGAGGAAAUGGAUUCCGCUUCGGGAGGGGCUCGCGGCCUAUCAGCUUGUUGGUGGGGUAAUGGCCUACCAAGGCUUCGACGGGUAGCUGGUCUGAGAGGACGAUCAGCCACACUGGGACUGAGACACGGCCCAGACUCCUACGGGAGGCAGCAGUGGGGAAUCUUGCGCAAUGGGCGAAAGCCUGACGCAGCAACGCCGCGUGAGGGACGAAGGCUUUCUGAGUUGUAAACCUCUUUCAGCAGGAACGAUAGUGACGGUACCUGCAGAAGAAGCACCGGCAACUACGCGCCAGCAGCCGCGGUAA
rnacentral:rRNA from 1 species